rnacentral:rRNA from 1 species
CCUACGGGAGGCAGCAGUGAGGAAUAUUGGUCAAUGGGCGCGAGCCUGACCCAGCCAAGUCGCGUGAAGGAAGACUGCCCUACGGGUGGUAAACUUCUUUUAUAAAGAAAUAAAGUGAGGCGCGUGUGCAUUUUUGUAUGUACUUUAUGAAUAAGGAUCGGCUAACUCCAGGCCAGCAGCCGCCGUCAUACGGAGGCUCCGAGCGUUAGCCGGAUUUGUUGGGUUUAAAGGGAGCGUAGAUGGGUUGUUAAGUCAGUUGUGAAAGUUUGGGGCUCAACCGUAAAAUUGCAAUUGAUACUGGCAGUCUUGAGUACAGUUGAGGUAGGCGGAAUUCGUGGUGUAGCGGUGAAAUGCUUAGAUAUCACGAAGAACUCCGAUGGCGAAGGCAGCUUACUAAACUGCCACUGACAUUGAUGCUCGAAAGUGUGGGUAUCAAACAGGAUUAGAUACCCGGGUAGUC